UCCUGUUGUAGGACUCAGGCUCCGUGUUCGUCGAGAAAUCCGCCGGGAACACGGGGGAUCUCAGCUGUACCCUCAAGGGGCUUACGUAAAGUUGUAAACAAUAAACGAAGGCAAACGCAUUAAGUCAAAAUAUGACUGGUGUUUAAAGAGUUUGAGCUCCAUGAGGGUGACUGUGUGGUCCACAGCUGUGAUUUCUGACAUCUGUCUAGUACAGUAGGUGUACAUGGAGAAGAGCAGCAUGGGUGCAGAAGGGAUUAUGAUCCCCUUUACAUUUGAGAAAACUGAGGCUCCGAGAGGUUGGUACACCUGCUCAGGGUCCCCGACUGAUCCA